rnacentral:rRNA from 1 species
UACGUAGGGCGCAAGCGUUGUCCGGAAUUAUUGGGCGUAAAGAGCUCGUAGGCGGUUUGUCGCGUCUGCUGUGAAAACUCGGGGCUCAACUCCGAGCUUGCAGUGGGUACGGGCAGACUAGAGUGUGGUAGGGGGAGACUGGAAUUCCUGGUGUAGCGGUGAAAUGCGCAGAUAUCAGGAGGAACACCGAUGGCGAAGGCAGGUCUCUGGGCCACUACUGACGCUGAGAAGCGAAAGCAUGGGGAGCGAACAGG